rnacentral:rRNA from 1 species
AGUCGUUCUGCCCAUUGAAUUUAAAAGGCUGCGGUAUACUAACUGUACAAAGGUAGCAAAAUAAAUAGUUUUUUAAUUGAGAACUUGAAUGAAAGAGUUGAUAAAAUAUAAAUUGUCUCAAUUAUAUAAUUUAAAUAAAGAGUUAAAAUGCUUUUAUAAAUUUAUUAGACGAUAAGACCCUAAGAAUUUUAUAAUUUAAUUAAUUUAAAUAAUUUUAAUAAAAUUAAAAUAUUUUAUUGGGAGGAUAAUUAAAUAAACUUUAAUUUAAAAAAAUAUGAUUAAAUAAAUUUAAUGAUUAAAAUAUUAAUUAUAAGAAUAAAUUACCUUAGGGAUAACAGCGUAAUAAUUUUGGAUAGUUCAUAUUGAUAAAAUUGUUUGCGACCUCGAUGUUGAAUUAAAAUAAAAAUUAAAUGAAGAUCUUUAAGUUUUUAGUCUGUUCGACUAUUAAAAUUUUAC